AUGCACGCUGGCGGCGUGCCUAAUACCUGCAAGUCGAGCGAACGGACGAGAAGCUUGCUUUUCUGAUGUUAGCGGCGGACGGGUGAGUAACACGUGGAUAACCUACCUAUAAGACUGGGAUAACUUCGGGAAACCGGAGCUAAUACCGGAUAAUAUUUUGAACCGCAUGGUUCAAAAGUGAGAGACGGUCUUGCUGUCACUUAUAGAUGGAUCCGCGCUGCAUUAGCUAGUUGGUAAGGUAACGGCUUACCAAGGCAACGAUGCAUAGCCGACCUGAGAGGGUGAUCGGCCACACUGGAACUGAGACACGGUCCAGACUCCUACGGGAGGCAGCAGUAGGGAAUCUUCCGCAAUGGGCGAAAGCCUGACGGAGCAACGCCGCGUGAGUGAUGAAGGUCUUCGGAUCGUAAAACUCUGUUAUUAGGGAAGAACAUAUGUGUAAGUAACUGUGCACAUCUUGACGGUACCUAAUCAGAAAGCCACGGCUAACUACGUG
rnacentral:rRNA from 1 species